rnacentral:rRNA from 1 species
GAUGAACGCUGGCGGCGUGCCUAAUACAUGCAAGUCGAGCGAACGGACGAGAAGCUUGCUUCUCUGAUGUUAGCGGCGGACGGGUGAGUAACACGUGGAUAACCUACCUAUAAGACUGGGAUAACUUCGGGAAACCGGAGCUAAUACCGGAUAAUAUUUUGAACCGCAUGGUUCAAAAGUGAAAGACGGUCUUGCUGCCACUUAUAGAUGGAUCCGCGCUGCAUUAGCUAGUUGGUAAGGUAACGGCUUACCAAGGCAACGAUGCAUAGCCGACCUGAGAGGGUGAUCGGCCACACUGGAACUGAGACACGGUCCAGACUCCUACGGGAGGCAGCAGUAGGGAAUCUUCCGCAAUGGGCGAAAGCCUGACGGAGCAACGCCGCAUGAGUGAUGAAGGUCUUCGGAUCGUAAAACUCUGUUAUUAGGGAAGAACAUAUGUGUAAGUAACUGUGCACAUCUUGACGGUACCUAAUCAGAAAGCCACGGCUAACUACGUG